UACGGAGGGGGCUAGCGUUGUUCGGAAUUACUGGGCGUAAAGCGCGCGUAGGCGGACCUGCAAGUCGGGGGGUGAAAGCCCGAGGCUCAACCUCGGAACUGCCCUCGAUACUGCGGGUCUCGAGUCCGGGAGAGGUGAGUGGAAUUCCUAGUGUAGAGGUGAAAUUCGUAGAUAUUAGGAAGAACACCAGUGGCGAAGGCGGCUCACUGGCCCGGUACUGACGCUGAGGCGCGAAAGCGUGGGGAGCAAACAGG
rnacentral:rRNA from 1 species